rnacentral:precursor_RNA from 1 species
AAGAAAACAGAGGAUAGGUGCAGAGACUCAAUGGAAGCUGUUCUAACGAAUGGAAUUGACGUUGACUACAUUGCGUUGGUAGCUGGAAUCCCUCUAUCGAAAUUACAGAAGGGAUAACCCUAUAUGCGUAUAUAUACAUACUGACAUAUCAAAUGAUUAAUCACGACUCGAAUCUGGAAUACAUAACAUAUUAUUAUAUAUAUAUAAUUUUAUAUAUUCUAUUUAUUUCUAAAUUUAUAGAUUAAUUAAGAGUUAUUAUAAAUCUAUUCCAGUCGAAGUUGAAGGAAGAAUCGAAUAUUCAGUGAUCAAAUCAUUCAUUCCAAAGUCCGAUAGAUCUUUUGAAAAAAAUGAUUAAUCGGACGAGAAUAAAGAGAGAGUCCUGUUCUACGUGUCAAUACCGACAGCAAUGAAAUUUAUAGUAUUAGGAAAAUCCGUCGACUUUAGAAAUCGUGA